rnacentral:lncRNA from 1 species
GGACGAUAAUAUACAAGUGUCGAAAAUUUUAGGUCAGGUUCGAUUACAUUUCCUGUCUAGAGAGAAAGUGCGUGUAUCAUGGGGUUCAUGCUCAAGAUAAUUGUUUUGUCGUUUUUAUUGGUUAGUACUUUAUCGGUCCCGGAAAUAACAAUGGGAAAUGUACCGAAAAAUGACGAGGAAGUAAAAGAUACCUGGUUGGAUUCUUUUAAAAAUUUGCGGUAUAUUUUUAGACUUAUAUUCAGAGUGAUACAGCCCGUAUUUUAUAACUUUAAAAAAGAACCCAAUGUGACUACAGAAUGCAAAGAAUCUUUCGAUCAAUUUAUGGAGGGACUGAAGAACAAUAAAGCUUGGGCAUUUAAAAGUAAGUAGAUUAAAUGUUAUUGCACAAGAUUUUAUUUUAUUUAAAAAAAAAAUAAGAAUAUAAAUAUUGCUAAACACUAAAAUUUAUUCG